UAUAGUGAUGUGCUGAUGGAGACUUGCUGUGCACCUCCAAGACCCACUCAUCAGAAAAGUAGCUGUUGAUUGGGAAACAAGGACAAACAAUGAGGCAUGAGGAUUGGGUGUUGAGGGGCCACUUGUCACAUUGUCCAAGUCCAAGGAGUGCAUCCCUCAGACCAUCUGGUGCAUGGACAUCCUGUGGCAGUGUGAUGCGAGCAUCCAGUUGUAGAGACUACAGCACAUCAAGCCUUUGGACAGACAGACAUGAGACGUGACAUGCGGAACAUCAGGCUCACCCCACGAGAAGCAGUGCAUGAUCAAAGCCACCCUCAGCAAGGAGAUCUGCUGGGAGUGAUGUCUCUACCAUUCUAAAUUUACCAGAAAAGGAAGCUCCACACAACA